rnacentral:rRNA from 1 species
CCUACGGGUGGCUGCAGUGGGGAAUAUUGGACAAUGGGCGAAAGCCUGAUCCAGCCAUGCCGCGUGUGUGAAGAAGGCCUUCGGGUUGUAAAGCACUUUCAGUGGGGAAGAAAGCCUUGGGGCUAAUACCCUCGAGGAAGGACAUCACCCACAGAAGAAGCACCGGCUAACUCCGUGCCAGCAGCCGCGGUAAUACGGAGGGUGCGAGCGUUAAUCGGAAUUACUGGGCGUAAAGCGCGCGUAGGCGGUCUGAUAAGCCGGUUGUGAAAGCCCCGGGCUCAACCUGGGAACGGCAUCCGGAACUGUCAGGCUAGAGUGCAGGAGAGGAAGGUAGAAUUCCCAGUGUAGCGGUGAAAUGCGUAGAGAUCGGGAGGAAUACCAGUGGCGAAGGCGGCCUUCUGGACUGACACUGACGCUGAGGUGCGAAAGCGUGGGUAGCAAACAGGAUUAGAUACCCCUGUAGUC